GGCCGGGAACUCAAAGGAGACUGCCAGUGAUAAACUGGAGGAAGGUGGGGAUGACGUCAAGUCAUCAUGGCCCUUACGACCAGGGCUACACACGUGCUACAAUGGCAUAUACAAAGAGAAGCGACCUCGCGAGAGCAAGCGGACCUCAUAAAGUAUGUCGUAGUCCGGAUUGGAGUCUGCAACUCGACUCCAUGAAGUCGGAAUCGCUAGUAAUCGURGAUCAGAAUGCUACGGUGAAUACGUUCCCGGGCCUUGUACACACCGCCCGUCACACCAUGGGAGUGGGUUGCAAAAGAAGUAGGUAGCUUAACCUUCGGGAGGGCGCUUACCACUUUGUGA
rnacentral:rRNA from 1 species